GAUGAACGCUAGCUACAGGCUUAACACAUGCAAGUCGAGGGGAAACGACAUCGAAAGCUUGCUUUUGAUGGGCGUCGACCGGCGCACGGGUGAGUAACGCGUAUCCAACCUGCCCAUCACUUGGGAAUAACCUUGCGAAAGUAAGACUAAUACCCAAUGAUAUCCCACGAAGGCAUCGGAAUGGGAUUAAAGAUUUAUCGGUGAUGGAUGGGGAUGCGUCUGAUUAGCUUGUUGGCGGGGUAACGGCCCACCAAGGCAACGAUCAGUAGGGGUUCUGAGAGGAAGGUCCCCCACAUUGGAACUGAGACACGGUCCAAACUCCUACGGGAGGAAGAAGUGAGGAAUAUUGGUCAAUGGGCGAGAGCCUGAACCAGCCAAGUAGCGUGCAGGAAGACGGCCCUAUGGGUUGUAAACUGCUUUUAUAAGGGAAUAAAGUGGGUCACGUGUGACUUUUUGCAUGUACCUUAUGAAUAAGGACCGGCUAAUUCCGUG
rnacentral:rRNA from 1 species